rnacentral:rRNA from 1 species
GACGAACCGUGCGAACGUUGUUCGGAAUCACUGGGCUUAAAGGGCGCGUAGGCGGUCUUGUAAGUCUUGUGUGAAAUCCCUCGGCUCAACUGAGGAACUGCACGGGAUACUGCGAGACUUGAGUUCGGGAGAGGGAAGCGGAAUUCCGGGUGUAGCGGUGAAAUGCGUAGAUAUCCGGAGGAACACCGGUGGCGAAGGCGCACAUCUGGCCCGAUACUGACGCUGAGGCGCGAAAGCUAGGGGAGCAAACGGG